AGUACCCUGCUGUGUUCGUGAUAGCUGAGGGGGUUUUGAGCCGACACUCAAACCUGAUGGAGCCGGAUUCGUCCGCGGAGUGGCAGCUUCGAGCAAUCGAGGAAUCGCGUAAGCGUACGUGAAGGCAUCCGCCCGUUUUUCUACGGGUUCAAAAACCUGAUAGGCACACGGCACGGCGGGGUUCUU
rnacentral:other from 1 species